UUCGAGUUGGCUCAAUCAUAAAACAAAACAUGGUUACAAAAAAUACAAUAAAAAGAUCCCUGUUCAAAAGUCUGCAUACCCUUAGUUCUUAGUACUGUGUAUUGCCCCCUUCAGCAUCAAUGACAUGAUGCAGUCUUUUGUAAUAGUUGUCAAUGAGGCCCCACAUUCUUGCAUGUGGUAUAGCUGCCCAUUUGUCCUGGCAAAAUGCCUCCAGGUAAUGCAAAGUCUUUGGUCGUCUUGCAUGAACCGCCCAUUUGACAUCUCCCCAGAGUGGCUCCAUGAUAUUAAGGUCAGGAGACUGUGAUGGCCACUCCAGAACCUUCACCUUUUUCUGCUGUAACCACUGGAGGGUCAACUUGGCCUUGUGCUUAAUGUCAUUGUCGUGAUGGAAAGUCCAAGAGCGUCCCAUUUGCAGUUUCGUGCAGAAGAAUGCAAAUUGUCUGCCAGUAUGCUGAUAACAUGCCAUCAAUUUCACAAGAUUUCCUGUGCCUUUAGAGCUAACACCCCCCCAAAACAUCAUUGAGCCACCACCAUGCUUCACAGUGGGGAUGGUGUUCUUUUCACUAUAGGCUGUGUUGACCAUUCUCCAAACAUAGCGCUUAUGGUUGUGAAGCUCUAUUUUAGUCUUCGUCACUCCAAAUUACCGUGUGCCAGGAGCUUUGAAGCGUCAAUUAUCGUCAUAUUGUGCUCCUUGAAACAACCACACCUUCUUUUUCCAGAGCAGCCUGCAUUUCUCCUGAGGUUACCUGUGGGUUUUUCUUUGUAUCUCAAGCAAUUCUUCUGGCAGUUUUGGCAGAAAUCUUUCUUGGUCUACCUGACCUUGGCUUGGUAUGAAGAGAUCCCCUAAUUGUCCACUUCAUAAUAAGUGAUUGAACAGUACUGACUGGCAUUUGCAAGGCUUUGGAUAUCUUUUUAUAUCCUUUUCCAUCUUUAUAAAGUUCCAUUACCUUGUUACGCAGGUCUUUUGACAGUUCUUUUCUGCUCCCCAUGGCUCAGUAUCUAUCCUGCUCAGUGCAUCCACAUGAGAGCUAACAAACUCAUUGACUAUUUAUACACAGACACUAAUUGCAAUCUAAAAAUCCACAGGUGUGGGAAAUUCACCUUUAAUUGCCAUUUUCACCUGUGUGUGUCACCUUGUGUGUCUGUAACAAGGCCAAACAUUCAAGGGUAUGUAAACUUUUGCUCAGGGCUAUUUGGGUGAUUUCUGUUAUUAUUGAUUUGAAAGGAGCCAAACAGCUAUGUGAUAAUAAAUGGUUUCGUAUGAUCAUUAUCCUUAAAUAAAAAAGUGAUAGUGAUCAGUCAUAUUUUCUAAAUCAAUGCCAUAAUUUCACAAUUUCUGCCAGAGUAUGCAGACUUAUGACCACAACUGUAGGCUAUUGUAUAGCUAUUAGCUAGCCAUCUAAAGUAAUCAGUUUUUUAUUUAACGCAUUAAAUGUAUAUUUUUGAAGACAAAAAUUGCAUUUCAUAAAUUGGGUUUCAGAUUAGCACAACCGAGUAAGACAUGCAUUAUUAUAGUUUAAGGAAAAUACUGAUAAUUGCUAACUGUACUCCUUCUCUCCACACAGAGAUCUCUCCUGCCUGCUGGUUUCUACUUUUUGUCAUCUUAUGUCUGAUUGUUGCUGCUGCCAUUUACUUAUGGUCCUGGUUCAAAUAUGGGAAAGUGAAAUAUUAUGCACUCAGUAUGAUCAUAUUGCAUUGAUUUAGCUGUAAUUCUAUGAUUUAGCUGAAACGUACAUUAUUAUUUGUAUAUCUUUCUAGUUCAGUGGCCAAUGCAUCAGAACAGACAGAUCAAGACGAUGGUGAAGUGCCCAUACGACAAACCGAGAAAGUGACAGGAUACGACAAGGAAGAUGCGGAAACAUGAUGUUGGAAACAAACUUAUUUUACCUUUUGGAAUAUACAAUAUAUUUCAUGUUUUGCUUCUAAUAAAUGGGCUGAGUGGCUAUGAAGCCACAAAAGUGUUGUAAUGAUUUGCAAACUUGUGAAAAAUAUUAGCAAAUUGUAAAAAGAAAUUGC
ensembl:lncRNA